rnacentral:misc_RNA from 1 species
GGUUAAACCAUCAUUGAAUCAUAUUCAAUGGUAGCAAUAUCUUGGGUUUCCAAUCCUAAUUUAGCUCCUUGGAAAUUCAACUCAAUUAUCAAUGACAUUUUGGGUUCAGUUUAGAAGUUGUCUAGAGUCUUGUUUGUUCAUUCUCCAUGUGAGUCAAAUUCUGUGGCGGAUGCACUUGCGAAGCAAGAUGUGGAUAGAUCGGAAGACUUUGUCGCUGUUUUGUGAUGUGAUGCUGCUACGUUUUGUUGCGCCUAUGUUAUGUGCAGAUUUUGUAUUGUUCUUGUGCAGGUUCCAUCUUCGGCAUAGAUUCGGGGUUGGUGGUUUUG